rnacentral:rRNA from 1 species
AUGAAGGUCAAAAUUCUUCAGUGGCAUGCGGUGGCUUCUUGGACAUGGGACGCACAGGAUGAGACAUGUGGCAUAUGCAGGAUGGCUUUUGACGGCUGCUGCCCUGAUUGUAAGUUCCCUGGUGAUGAUUGCCCAAUCAUUUGGGGUGCCUGCAACCAUGCUUUCCAUCUUCACUGCAUACUCAAGUGGGUCAAUUCUCAAACAUCAAUCCCCCUUUGCCCCAUGUGUCGUAGGGAGUGGCAAUUCAAGGGCUAA